UUACAAUUAAACAUUGAGAUCCUGAAGAAAAAAGCAAAACUUCAGCAACUGGAAAUUCAAAGAAGCAUUAUAUACAGAAGGACUUCAUUUAUUUUGUCCUUGUCUUCCUACAGUGAAGCCUGAUGCUGAUCAAGAUUUCUUUUGGAUGCUCCUGGCCAUUGCCUGACCUAGGGGAUGCCCCAGUUCACUUUUGCUUGCUUUUGUGGGCUCCAUGGCUUCUGCAAAAUGAAGAGGAAAAAGGAAGAGGCCAGCAGUGAGCAAGAGACAGCUGUUUGAGGAGAGAAAACAUUCCCUUGGUGUAUUAUUUUCAACUGUAUUGAGUUGGAAGAAAACUGUUGCUACAGUAACUUGACAAAGGAAUGAUGUUGCUGUAGGAGAUUCCUGAGCUGUUUCAAACCUGUAACUCUGAAGAGCAGUACAAUAAUUGUCUGAAGCCACAAUGAGGAUUCAUCUGGCAUUCAGUCAUUGACCUCACUGAAUCAGCCUGAAAUGUUUACAGGAGUGAAUUUUGCAAGAAAACUGUCACUGAACUGGUUUACGGUAAAGAACACUUUUACAUGGCAAGCAGGAAGGUACAGGAUAUGGACAAAGAAUAGAAAUGAAAGCAAGGAAAGGGAAAUCACUCAGAUUUCUUUUGUAGCACCUGCCUUUGCAAAAUGAAACUGUAAAAAAUUAAACAGACUGUCUCACCCAAGCUAAUAUACCUUGUUAUGUACAAUUGCACUAUUAAUACUGGAAUCUUAAAACUGUGAAAUAGGGACAAUAAUUUUUGUGACACUGACAUUGGCAAUUUAAAAAUCUAUUUGAUCAUUAAGUUUGUUGCAAUUUGUACAAUGGUUGCGUUUCAAUAUUAUCCAAAAUUGGAAUUAUUCUUUUAAAAAUUGUUAUGACAGAUGUACUUAUUUCACUAAGGAUGAUGUCAUGAUAAGCACUUUAUUCUACAGUGUCAAUAGUUACAGGUUUUAGAAAGAGUGAGCUAGAUCUCACUGAAAUGUUUAUGAUGUUUUGGCUCUUCAGACUAUUUUCUCUCAGAAGACCCCUCUCACUGUUUCUUAUUUUCCACCUGUGUUGCCUCUAGCUAGUUCCUAUGUGCUCUGACACUUACUCCCAAGGACAGUGCUUUUAUCAUUACUACAUUUAUGAAACUUUCUAAAUUUUAGGUGGUUGGCUAAGGAUUUUCUCAAAAUUCAGGCUGCUCAUGCCAUUAUUCAAAUAUUUAUUACAAUCAUGUUCUUCCCCCGCCCUCAUAAUCCAUAGAAAAUAUUGCAUGAACCAAAUCUUUCCGGAAUUGCCACUGUAACAAAUAUUCAGUUUACUUCCAGACAGUUAUAAGCCACAAUUCUGUGCUUAUUUAGGUAUGCAGUAUGCAAUAUUGUGUGCUAUAUUGAUUUUGUAUCUCUGAUUUAUGAGAACAGCAGUUGUACAUGAUCUGUUUAUUGAAUGUACCUGCAUUCACUUUGCACAGUUACACCUAAGAAUACUAGUUAUGUAUAUAGAGAUUAGUGAUUCAGCUUGACUCUGUUUAAUACAAUAUCUACAGACAUAUAUAUAUAUAUAUAU